UGCAGUCGUACGANNGUUUUUACUCANGUGGCGGACGGGUGAGUAACACGUANNAAUUUGCCUUUAGGAGGGGGAUAACAACUGGAAACGGUUGCUAAUACCCCAUAUGCUUUCGAGUAAAAUGGAUUUUCCGCCUAAAGAAAAGCUUGCGGCUGAUUAGCUUGUUGGUGAGGUAAUGGCUCACCAAGGCGACGAUCAGUAUCUGGUUUGAGAGGAUGAUCAGACACACUGGAACUGAGACACGGUCCAGACUCCUACGGGAGGCAGCAGUGGGGAAUUUUCCGCAAUGGGCGAAAGCCUGACGGAGCAAUACCGCGUGAGGGAUGACGGCCUAUGGGUUGUAAACCUCUUUUUUCAGGGAGGAAUCAAUGACGUGUACCUGAAGAAUAAGCAUCGGCUAACUCCGUGCCAGCAGCCGCGGUAAGACGGAGGAUGCAAGUGUUAUCCGGAAUCACUGGGCGUAAAGCGUCUGUAGGUGGUUAAAUAAGUCAACUGUUAAAUCUUGAGGCUCAACCUCAAAAUCGCGGUCGAAACUAUUAGACUAGAGUAUAGUAGGGGUAAAGGGAAUUUCCAGUGGAGCGGUGAAAUGCGUAGAGAUUGGAAAGAACACCAAUGGCGAAAGCACUUUACUGGGCUAUUACUGACACUGAGAGACGAAAGCUAGGGUAGCAAAUGGGAUUA
rnacentral:rRNA from 1 species